rnacentral:lncRNA from 1 species
GAAGCAGGGUUACUCAAAGCAGGGCCGAGGCCUGAUCCCAUUAAGUUGGGGCUGCCCUCAUCAAUUCCACCAACUCACACUGACUGAGAAGCCAGUGUUUGCAGGAUGGGACAAGGCACAGUUCAAGGAAACCCUCCCAACUGGUCUACCAUAAGAGCCAGGGGCCUCCUCUUCCCUCAGACUUGGCUGCUUGCCCAGGGAAACCCCUUUGCUCACUCUUAGAGGAGCCUGCUGACUGCGGCUAUGGGAACCACUUUCAUCUCCAUGGACAAAAGCUCUGGGGUGAGGUUUUUAUUGGGUAAAUAAAAUGCCCAAGAAGGAUAAAGGGAAGAGAAGGGAAAGUUUGGGCUUGAUGUUGCCAGUGGCAAUACUAUAAGAAUGGUUACAAAAAUAAAGAGGCCUUCAGUGGGAGAACUGCGUCUCUCAAGCUGUGAGCCACUGACAGAAGCUAUGGAGUUACUGACAGGGCCAGAGAGAAAUAUCUCUGCACUAAGUAACCAUGUAAAGCUCCAGGAAAGCACAGCCUUGGAGGAGGAAGUUAGCUGCCUGACAGCUGGACCUGGGUGGUGGUUGUGUAACUGUUGUUCCUG